rnacentral:rRNA from 1 species
UACGGGGGGGGCAAGCGUUGUUCGGAAUUACUGGGCGUAAAGGGCGCGUAGGCGGUCGGAUAAGUCAGCUGUGAAAACCACGGGCUUAACUCGUGGCCUGCAGUUGAGACUGUCUGGCUUGAGUGUGGGAGAGGAGAGUGGAAUUCCUGGUGUAGCGGUGAAAUGCGUAGAUAUCAGGAGGAACACCGGUGGCGAAGGCGGCUCUCUGGACCACAACUGACGCUGAGGCGCGAAAGCUAGGGGAGCAAACAGG